ACUGGAACUGAGACACGGUCCAGACUCCUACGGGAGGCAGCAGUGGGGAAUAUUGGGCAAUGGGGGAAACCCUGACCCAGCAACGCCGCGUGAAGGAAGAAGGUCUUCGGAUUGUAAACUUAUGUUGUCGGGGACGAAGAAAGACGGUACCCGACGAGGAAGCCCCGGCUAACUACGUGCCAGCAGCCGCGGUAAUACGUAGGGGGCGAGCGUUGUCCGGAAUUACUGGGCGUAAAGGGCGCGUAGGCGGCGCUUCAAGUCGUCUGUCAAAAGCCGAGGCUCAACCUCGGUGCGCAGACGAAACUGGAGAGCUUGAGAAGCAGAGAGGCAAACAGAAUUCCUGGUGUAGCGGUGAAAUGCGUAGAUAUCAGGAAGAAUACCAGUGGCGAAGGCGGUUUGCUGGCUGCAUACUGACGCUGAAGCGCGAAAGCCAGGGGAGCAAACGGGAUUAGAUACCCCGGUAGUCCUGGCAGUAAACGAUGUAUGCUGGGUGUGGGACUAGCGAUAGUUCCGUGCCGAAGUUAACGCGAUAAGCAUACCGCCUGGGGAGUACGGUCGCAAGAUUGAAACUCAAAGGAAUUGACGGGGGCCCGCACAAGCGGUGGAGCACGUGGUUUAAUUCGAUGCAAACCGAAGAACCUUACCUGGGUUUGACAUACUACCGGUACUGACCUGAAAGGGAAGGGACCCCAGCUUGCUGGGGAAGUAGAACAGGUGCUGCAUGGCUGUCGUCAGCUCGUGUCGUGAGAUGUUGGGUUAAGUCCCGCAACGAGCGCAACCCCUAUAGCCAGUUGCUAACAAGUGAAGUUGAGCACUCUGGCGAGACUGCCGCCGACAAGGCGGAGGAAGGUGGGGAUGACGUCAAGUCAUCAUGGCCUUUAUGCCCAGGGCGACACACGUGCUACAAUGGACGGCACAAAAGGCAGCUUACUAGCGAUAGUUGGCGAAUCCUUAAAAGCCGUUCCCAGUUCGGAUUGCAGUCUGAAACCCGACUGCAUGAAGCCGGAAUCGCUAGUAAUCGCAGAUCAGCCAAGCUGCGGUGAAUACGUUCCCGGGCCUUGUACACACCGCCCGUCACACCACCCGAGUUGGGGGCACCCGAAGCCGCAGGCUUAACCCGUAAGGGAAAGAAGCGUCUAAGGUGCGCCGAGUAAGGGGGGUGAAGUCGUAACAAGGUAGCCGUACCGGAAGGUGCGGCUG
rnacentral:rRNA from 1 species